rnacentral:rRNA from 1 species
UACGGAGGGUGCGAGCGUUGUCCGGAAUCACUGGGCGUAAAGGGCGCGUAGGCGGCCUGAUAAGUAGGGGGUGAAAUCCUGCGGCUUAACCGCAGGGCUGCCUUCUAAACUGUCAGGCUCGAGCACAGUAGAGGCAGGUGGAAUUCCCGGUGUAGCGGUGGAAUGCGUAGAGAUCGGGAGGAAGACCGGUGGCGAAGGCGGCCUGCUGGGCAGUUUCUGACACUGAUGCGCGACAGCGUGGGGAGCAAACAGG